rnacentral:rRNA from 1 species
AUUGAACGCUGGCGGCAUGCCUUACACAUGCAAGUCGAACGGUAACAGGUUAAGCUGACGAGUGGCGAACGGGUGAGUAAUAUAUCGGAACGUGCCCAGUCGUGGGGGAUAACGUAGCGAAAGCUACGCUAAUACCGCAUACGAUCUACGGAUGAAAGCGGGGGAUCGCAAGACCUCGCGCGAUUGGAGCGGCCGAUAUCAGAGUAGGUUGUUGGUGAGGUAAAAGCUAACCAAGCCUGCGAUCUGUAGCUGGUCUGAGAGGACGACCAGCCACACUGGAACUGAGACACGGUCCAGACUCCUACGGGAGGCAGCAGUGGGGAAUUUUGGACAAUGGACGCAAGUCUGAUCCAGCAAUGCCGCGUGCAGGACGAAGGCCUUCGGGUUGUAAACUGCUUUUGUACGGAACGAAACGGUGAGCUCUAAUACAGUUUGCUAAUGACGGUACCGUAAGAAUAAGCACCGGCUAACUACGUGCCAGCCGCCGCAGUAA